rnacentral:rRNA from 2 species
UCAUAUGCUUGUCUCAAAGAUUAAGCCAUGCAAGUCUCAGUACAAGCCGAAUUAAGGUGAAACCGCAAAAGGCUCAUUAAAUCAGUUAUGGUUCCUUGGAUCGUACAAUCCAUUACUUGGAUAACUGUGGUAAUUCUAGAGCUAAUACAUGCAAACAGAGUCCCGACCAGAAAUGGAAGGGACGCUUUUAUUAGAUCAAAACCAAUCGACGUCCGUCCGAUUCGUCGGCGGCGCCGUACUCCUUGGUGACUCUGAAUAACUUUUGGCAGAUCGCACGGUCUCCGAACCGGCGACGCAUCCUUCAAAUGUCUGCCUUAUCAACUGUCGAUGGUAGGUUCUGCGCCUACCAUGGUUGUAACGGGUAACGGGGAAUCAGGGUUCGAUUCCGGAGAGGGAGCCUGAGAAACGGCUACCACAUCCAAGGAAGGCAGCAGGCGCGCAAAUUACCCACUCCCGGCACGGGGAGGUAGUGACGAAAAAUAACGAUACGGGACUCAUCCGAGGCCCCGUAAUCGGAAUGAGUAUACUCUAAAUCCUUAUACAAGUAUCCAUUGGAGGGCAAG